GGCUUCCGCGCCCGUGAGCGGGGCGGGAGGUCGGGUCAGCAGGUCAGGGCCCGGCUGGAGCUGAGGUGACCCGCCCGCGGCCGGGACGCGGAGAUGCUCCACACCAAUAAGAAGGAAAAUUGUAUUCAUACAAUAUGAUACUAGAUGGACAACAAUGAAAAAGAACAAAGUUCCUCGACAAGAAAGGACAUGGAGCAGACGAUACCAUGGAAUGGGCCGUAGCUUGUGUAUAGCAAAGUCCACAAAAUCGUAACACAUGGAACCUCUUUCUGGAUGCUUGACGGGCCCCAGAUAACCACAGUUGAUGUGUGUCGUGGUUUUGGGGGGACUGUUGGUAGGGUGUUGUCCAGGGAUCCUAACUCGGUGCAGAUGGCCAGCCUUGCGGAUGGACUUCAGCCUACAGACGUGCUGACAGGAUCCUUCAGGCUGCCCAGACAUGUUUCUGAGUGUGGACUGAUCCUAACUACGUCUACCGGUUUCUGAGACACAGAGCUGGCUGCCAUUUUGUCAGCUGUACUGGUGUUUGGGGAGAGACAAAGAAUGAGUAUUCUACUUAGGGCAUUCCUUCUCUUAGCUGCCAGUUUGAAGAUACUUGAUGAGCAUUACAUCCAAAUAGGUAAGUGAGUAUAAUUACUAGACUCUGGGAAGACAUAGGGAAAUGUCGAUCUUCCACCCAGCACACUCACUAAUGGAAUCCUUCUGAGCCCUGCUUCCUGGGCUGAUGUUUUCAUAUGGUCUCUCUAUGCAUUAAAGGCACUGGCUGGGCUAUAGUCUGACUGCCAUUCCUUACUACCGGGAAAAGUUCCGUGUGAUAUGUGGAUACAUUUGGCCAGCUCUCAGUCCUUCUAGGCUCAUCCCUCUAUUGCAGUCUAUAUUUUCAGUUUUGAUAUUUAUACCGAAGGUCUCAUCCCUUCUGCAAAGCAAGAGCCCAAAAAAGCUAGGUCCUCCCCUGUGGGAUCUGUCAGGGUGACGGAGUGCAGUGAACCGAUUGUGCACUGCACGGCCGCAGGAAGUGCCACUCACAUGGACGCCAUACGACCUGCUCAGCUGGACGUGGUGGCCCAGUGACCCUUGUUCACCUGCUGUGCUCCUGCUUGAAUCUCAUGUUACCUGAUAUUCUUGGUUUGCUUUUGUCCCUGGGAAUAGUCUACCUUGGAGUUGAACUUCAUUGUUGUCUCUAGUCUCCCCCUACCGAUGUGGUUUUUUUCCAGGAAUACAGGGUUCCUCAUCUUGUGUGAUGAGCAUGACUCCUUACCUUUCUCUGGAUUGCAGUGCAUCUCUUCUCCCUCUUUCACAGAGAACGUGUCUCAUCUAUAGCCUCUUCCAUAGUUCUGCCUACUCCUCCCUGCUGGCUUUUCCCUUCUGCAUAUUAGAGUGUACCCGACUCAAUGGUCAGCACCCCCUUCCUCUGAGUUUUGCCCCAUCUGACUGUUUCCAGUACAACUCAAUGAGAGCCUAGGAGGGCUUAUCCACUCCCGUGGCUCCACGGUCACUGUUAAACUUAUGGUUUCCUAACUUCCUGUUCUCUGAAUGGAUGUUGUCUGGAGCUCUGGCCAGAUGAAGAGUUUUCUGCUGUUAGGGGGGCUGCACCUCCUUUUUUCUCUGGUUUGGACUUGCUGUGGAGAACAACCAGUGUAUGAACCGUGCAGCCCCUCUCUGUACCUGGCCAGGGUCAAGUCAACUGCACUUGGCAAUAACCUACCCGUGGCCCCUGAAGAAGUGUUCCUAGGAGAUCAGUGUCCUGGAACCUCGGUGCCUGAAGGCUUUUAUGAAUCCUGAUACCGUCCCACUGGUUGUACCAUUAGGAUUGAGGUCCUUCCAGGGGAUCGUCUCCUUUUUAUAUCUGAUUUUUAAGUCAAUGUUCUCCACUCUUGAAGCUUCAGUACCUGUGGCCUGAGCUAUACCCCGCCACCCAGCUCCUGUAAGAGGAAGCACAGGAACUGUUGCAUAUAAACAAGGUGGUCCCCCAAAAGAUCAGGAAUAGCAAAUUUAUACAGUGGAGAGACAAGCAGAAAUUCAAGAGCGAUGCUCAGUUUUGCUACUUUAAAAGUCACCUGGCUGUUCUUGCUCCACCUGAGAGUUCAGAAGCUGACAGAGCCCCACAGCUGUGACAUAGGAGGACUGCUGUUAGGGGCCGGAAUCGGCCUCAGGACCCUGUUUGUUAUCUUAAGUUUUUAAACAUUUUAGAUUUGAUUUUUAAUGGAAUGAAUCUUUGUGGUUUUACAACCCUUUACCUAGAAGGGCCUGCCUCUGUUUUUAACCUCAUACGUACUUUCUAAUAAAAUUUUUUUGAAUUCAUGGCA